rnacentral:rRNA from 1 species
GACGGAGGAUGCAAGUGUUAUCCGGAAUCACUGGGCGUAAAGCGUCUGUAGGUGGUUUAAUAAGUCAACUGUUAAAUCUUGAGGCUCAACCUCAAAAUCGCAGUCGAAACUAUUAGGCUAGAGUAUAGUAGGGGUAAAGGGAAUUUCCAGUGGAGCGGUGAAAUGCGUAGAGAUUGGAAAGAACACCGAUGGCGAAGGCAGCUCGCUGGGACGGUACUGACGCUGAGGCGCGAAAGCGUGGGGAGCAAACAGG